UUUCAUGCUUAUAACAGCUCACAUUUUUCUUCAUUUCACAUUUUACUAUCCAUUUUUACAACUAGCGUCAUAUAAAAAAAAUAUAUAUUCUUCUUAUUUUAUCUUUCUUUUCUUUUCUUUUUUUCUUUCACCACAAACAAAGUGGCAAAUAAAAUACCUUAAUUGUCCUUCAAUUUACAAUAUAUUUGGGAAACCUCACAUUCAAAUUAAUGAAACC
rnacentral:lncRNA from 1 species